rnacentral:rRNA from 1 species
UUCCGGUUGAUCCUGCCGGAGGCUACCGCUAUUGGAGUUCGAUUAAGCCAUGCGAGUCGCGAGUCUUAGGGACUCGGCGUACCGCUCAGUAACACGUGGGUAACCUGCCCUAUGCUGGGGGAUAACCUCGGGAAACUGAGAAUAAUACCCCAUAGUUCACCAUGCCUGGAACGGUGGGUGGACCAAAGCUCCGGCGGCAUAGGAUGGGCCUGCGGCGUAUCAGGUUGUAGGGGGUGUAAUGUACCCUCUAGCCCUCUACGCGUACGGGUGUUGAGAGACAUCGCCCGGAGAUGGAUUCUGAGACACGAAUCCAGACCCUACGGGGUGCAGCAGGCGCGAAAACUUGGCAAUGCGAGAAAUCGUGACCAGGGAACUCCAAGUGCAUCGGGUAAGACCGAUGCUUUUCUUGACUCUUCAAAGGUCUUGGAAUAAGGGGUGGGUAAGGACGGUGCCAGCCGCCGCGGUAAUACCGGCGCCCCAAGUGGUAGUCGCUUUUAUUGGGCCUAAAACGUCCGUAGCCGGUCUGGUACAUUCGUGGGUAAAUCAACCAGCUCAACUGGUUGAAUUCUGCGAGCACGGCCAGACUUGGGACCGGGAGAGGUGUGGGGUACUCUCAGGGUAGGGGUAAAAUCCUGUCAUCCUGAGAGGACCACCUGUUGCGAAGGCGCCACACUAGAACGGAUCCGACGGUCAGGGACGAAGCCUAGGGGCACGAACCGGAUUAGAUACCCGGGUAGUCCUAGGUGUAAACGCUGUGGACUUGAUGUUGGGGGCGCUCCGAGCGCACUCAGUGUCGAAGCGAAAGUGAUAAGUCCACUGCCUGGGGAGUACGGUCGCAAGGCUGAAACUUAAAGGAAUUGGCGGGGGAGCACCGCAACCUGAGGAUUGUGCGGUUUAAUUGGAUUCAACGCCGGA